rnacentral:rRNA from 1 species
AUAUCAAUAAGCGGAGGAAAAGAAACUAACAAGGAUUCCCUUAGUAACUGCGAGUGAAGCGGGAAAAGCUCAAAUUUAAAAUCUGGCGGUCUCUGGCCGUCCGAGUUGUAAUCUAGAGAAGUGCUUUCCGCGUUGGACCGUGUACAAGUCUCUUGGAAUAGAGCAUCAUAGAGGGUGAGAAUCCCGUCUCUGACACGGACUACCAGUGCUUUUGCGAUGCGCUCUCAAAGAGUCGAGUUGUUUGGGAAUGCAGCUCAAAAUGGGUGGUAAAUUCCAUCUAAAGCUAAAUAUUGGCGAGAGACCGAUAGCGAACAAGUACCGUGAGGGAAAGAUGAAAAGAACUUUGGAAAGAGAGUUAAACAGUAC